rnacentral:rRNA from 1 species
ACCUUGACCUUCGGGGGAUUUGUUGGGCGGCGAGCGGCGGACGGGUGAGUAAUGCCUGGGAACAUGCCUUAGUGUGGGGGAUAACCAUUGGAAACGAUGGCUAAUACCGCAUAAUCUCUACGGAGCAAAGAGGGGGACCUUCGGGCCUCUCGCGCUAAGAUUGGCCCAGGUGGGAUUAGCUAGUAGGUGGGGUAACGGCUCACCUAGGCGACGAUCCCUAGCUGGUCUGAGAGGAUGAUCAGCCACACUGGAACUGAGACACGGUCCAGACUCCUACGGGAGGCAGCAGUGGGGAAUAUUGCACAAUGGGGGAAACCCUGAUGCAGCCAUGCCGCGUGUGUGAAGAAGGCCUUCGGGUUGUAAAGCACUUUCAGCAGUGAGGAAGGCGGUAUCGUUAAUAGCGGUAUUGUUUGACGUUAGCUGCAGAAGAAGCACCGGCUAACUCCGUGCCAGCAGCCGACGGUAAUGAAA